UACAGAGGUCCCAAGCGUUGUUCGGAUUCACUGGGCGUAAAGGGUGCGUAGGUGGUCGGGUAAGUCUGAUGUGAAAUCUCCGGGCCUAACCCGGAAACUGCAUCGGAUACUAUUCGGCUAGAGGGUUGGAGGGGGGACUGGAAUACUUGGUGUAGCAGUGAAAUGCGUAGAUAUCGGGAGGAACACCAGUGGCGAAGGCGGCCUUCUGGACCAGUACUGACGCUCAUGCACGAAAGCGUGGGGAGCAAACAGG
rnacentral:rRNA from 1 species